rnacentral:lncRNA from 1 species
CCCUAACGAUCCGAUGUGAUAGCUAUAGAUACUAGUCCAGCCGGCCAGACCGAUCGGAACCGACUUGUACUACCUUCUUCUAAAAAUCCUAACCGAACCUAUUCUUGCUUAAUUACAACCGGCCAAUUAGGCACGGCAAUUAGGCACGUAGGCCAAUUAACCUUUCCUAAGAAAAAUGUGUACAUGUUGGAGUCCUUUGCUUGGACGCACACGUUACAUGCAUGUAGGUUUCUCUCGGUAGAAAUUAACAUACAGGCUUUUGGACCCAGCAAACGUACGGAGGCCAGGUAAUCCCUUCUUAGCAGUUUACCUGUCCAUGUUGUAUAGUCUGACAAUCUCGUCAUUUUAACUUGUGGAUGCAGUGCAGGCACAAUAUACUUCUCCUAUCUUCCUGGCUUAUUAACAAGAUCAGUACUGACAACACAAGGGGUCACAUCAUCCUCCCUACCUUGAAAGAAAACCGUCCUCGGUUUUGUCCUAUACUUUGCAGAUUUUUUUUGAAGACCUCGACAGUGCACUUUAUAUCCUUUGCAUCCUUAGGAAGAAUAGUGCAAAACUCACCUUUAUGCAUAAAAGUGUACCUGUUUGUUCGCCCGUGAUGAAGAGCAUUAACAUCAUGCUUCCACGGACGCCCCAAAAUAAGGUGACAAACAUGUAGUGGCAUGACGUCGCAUUCCACCUUAUCAACAUAGCCAUCAACAGAAAAAGGAACCUUCACCUUGUGAGUUACCUUCACUUUGCCCACAUCAUUGAUCCACUUCAUAUAGUAUGGUUUUGGGUGCUCCCAUGUUGGCAAAGAAAGAGACUCCACCACAUCCUUGCUAAUCAUGUUGCUAGCACUGCCGUCAUCAAUUAUUAGUUUGCACACUUCUCCCUUGAUGGGACAUGCAGUUUGAAAAAUACUUCACCAUUGUCCUUGUUCAACAAUGAUCUUGUCAUCUCGCUGGACCUUAUGUGCUAGCAAACUCUCCAUAUCAGGAUCAUCUUGAGGAUAACAUAGUAUGGUAUCACCAUGACCUCUUUCAAUUUCAUCCUCUAACUUAGGCAUCUCAUCUUCAGAUUCUGAAAUAUAUUCCGCAUCAACAAGUAGAACCCUGCGUUGAUUGGAACAUUCAUGCUUCAUGUGUCCACGUCCUCCACACUUGUGGCAAAUAAUAAUACGGUGAUGCGAUGACGUCGCACUAGAUGAAACCUGAGAAACCUCCUUUGGCGCAGCCGCCACUUUGCUCUGUUCAAUGCUCCCCGACUUAUAAGAAGGAAUCGGUUUAGCACUAAACCCACCAUCAAUAGGAGAAGAACCACGUCGCCCACUGUUGUAAGUUGGACGAGUCUCUGAAACUUGCUUCUCCAAUACCCAACAUUCAGCACGCUCCGCUUGAUGAAGUAACUCAUGGAUAUCAUUAUAUUGCAUUAAAUCAACACGGCCGCGAAUCUUUUCUUCUAACCCCUCAAAGAAACGUACCAUGGUCGCCUCCGCAGACUCACGCACAGCUGUACGGAUCAUCAAAACUUGCAUCUCCUUAUAGUACUCAUCAACUAAUUUCGUACCUUGCACUAGACGACGCAGUCUACUAUGAAGCUGGCGAGUGUAGUAAGCAGGCACAAAACGUUCCCUCAUGAUUCGCUUCAUGUCAGCCCAUGUCGUUGGUCGCUCGUGAGUAUGCUUCUUAUUAUCCCACCAUACAAGAGCAUACUCUGUAAAUUCCAUAGAUGCAACACGAACCUUCUUCUCUUCGGAGUAGUUGUGACUGUCAAAAAUCUGAUUUACGCGCAUCUCCCACUCCAAAUAUUUCUCCGGGUCAGCACAACGUCCAGAGAAUUCAGGUAUGGUUAUCUUGAUUCGACCCAAACCAUCAUCCUCGUGGGAACCAUUGCCGCCAUAGUCACGGCGCCGCCCAGCAUGGCGGUGAGCCCCAGCAUCAUGCCGUGGUCGGUGAGGUAAGCCUCCACGGGCAUCAGAAUCCUCAGAAAAAUCAUCAUCAUCAUUGUUGUCGCGGUCACGAUGUUGCCGUGGUGCCACAUCUCUCACCUGAAGGCGCUGAACUGCUGCGGUGAGCCUAUUAAGACUCUCAGUCACCACCUGUAGACUAUCAGUGCGCUGUCGGUCGCUGGCAGUCAAACGCUCGUUCAACCUAUCCUCGACGCCUACAAUAUUUGCAGACAACUCCUCCACCCUUGUCCUAAGCUUCUUGUUGGAUCCCUUGAUCGCCAUCAGAUGAAUACGCAAAUCAUCACUUAUCUCCAAACCCUCCGGAAGCUCAUCAACCUCCUCAUGAUCAGAUUUGUCAUGCUGCGAGUUCACCAUCUUUCAAAAAGUUGAAUCAAAUAGCAGGAAUUUUUUUUACCGUGAUCAACCUUGCUCUGAAUACCACUUGAUGCGACCUUCAACACAAAAACGAAGGCGCGAAUGCUUUCCCAAUAUUUCACGGUACGGUGUCACCAGGAACGAUGUGGCGCUCUCGAUCGGUAGAUGCAAUCACCACGGAAACAACACGCACACCCAAGAGAGGAAGUACAUGGACAAUCCUCCACGGAUCAGCAACAAACUAGAGACGGCGUCUCUAAUCCCUUGCCAAAAACACAAAGCAAUAAUUUAAGCUCCUCGACAGAAACACACGAAUUAACUCGCUACGAGGAGAUACCCCGGCUUGCCAGCCUUUGUUCGACAACCAAAAAUAAAACUGCCCCCUAACGAUACGAUGUGAUAGCUAUAAAUACUAGUCCAGCCGGCCGGACCGAUCGGAACCGACUUGUACUACCUUCUUCUAAAAAUCCUAACCGAACCUAUUCUUGCUUAAUUACAAUCGGCCAAUUAGGCACGGCAAUUAGGCACGUAGGCCAAUUAACCUUUCCUAAGAAAAAUGUGUACAUGCUGGAGUCCUUUGCUUGGACGCACACGUUACAUGCAUGUAAGUUUCUCUCGGUAGAAAUUAACAUACAGGCUUUUGGACCCAGCAAACGUACGGAGGCCAGGUAAUCCCUUCUGCAGUUUACCUGUCCAUGUUGUACAGUCUGACAAUCUCGUCAUUUUAACUUGUGGACAUAGUGCAGGCACAAUAUACUUCUCCUGUCUUCCUGGCUUAUUAACAAGAUCAGUACUGACAACACAAGGGGUCAC